GAUGAACGCUAGCUACAGGCUUAACACAUGCAAGUCGAGGGGUAACGAGAGGAAGGCUUGCUUUCCUUGUCGACGACCGGCGCACGGGUGAGUAACGCGUAUCCAACCUGCCCCCAACUAGGGAAUAACCUUGCGAAAGUAAGACUAAUACCCUAUAAUUUCCUCAGAUGUCAUCUGACGAGGAAUAAAGAUUUAUCGGUUGUGGAUGGGGAUGCGUCUGAUUAGCUUGUUGGUGGGGUAUCGGCCCACCAAGGCAACCAUCAGUAGGGGUUCUGAGAGGAAGGUCCCCCCCAUUGGAACUGAGACACGGUCCAAACUCCUACGGGAGGCAGCAGUGAGGAAUAUUGGUCAAUGGGCGGAAGCCUGAACCAGCCAAGUAGCGUGCAGGAUGACGGCCCUAUGGGUUGUAAACUGCUUUUAUACAGGAAUAAAGUUAGCCACGUGUGGUUAUUUGUAGGUACUGUAUGAAUAAGGACCGGCUAAUUCCGUGCCAGCCGCCGCCGUAA
rnacentral:rRNA from 1 species